rnacentral:rRNA from 1 species
CCUACGGGAGGCAGCAGUGGGGAAUUUUGGACAAUGGGCGAAAGCCUGAUCCAGCAAUGCCGCGUGAGUGAAGAAGGCCUUCGGGUUGUAAAGCUCUUUUGUCAGGGAAGAAACGGUGGGAGCUAAUAUCUCUUGCUAAUGACGGUACCUGAAGAAUAAGCACCGGCUAACUACGUGCCAGCAGCCGCGGUAAUACGUAGGGUGCAAGCGUUAAUCGGAAUUACUGGGCGUAAAGCGUGCGCAGGCGGUUUUGUAAGUCUGAUGUGAAAUCCCCGGGCUCAACCUGGGAAUUGCAUUGGAGACUGCAAGGCUAGAAUCUGGCAGAGGGGGGUAGAAUUCCACGUGUAGCAGUGAAAUGCGUAGAUAUGUGGAGGAACACCGAUGGCGAAGGCAGCCCCCUGGGUCAAGAUUGACGCCCAUGCACGAAAGCGUGGGGAGCAAACAGGAUUAGAUACCCUGGUAGUCCACGCCCUAAAACGAUGUCUACUAGUUGUCGGUCUUAAUGAUGUACGCAGCGACGCGNGAGUAGACCGCCGNGGGUAAGGUACGGUCGUUCGAGUAAGUUAAACGUUAACUAAGUUAGAGUUAGACGGCGUUGACGUUAGACGACGGACGACGACGAGGGAGGAGGAG